GAUGAACGCUGGCGGCGUGCUUAACACAUGCAAGUCGAACGGACGGAGGAAGCUUGCUUCCGAAGUUAGUGGCGGACGGGUGAGUAACGCGUGGGUAACCUGCCCUAUGCAGGGGGAUAACAGUGAGAAAUCGCUGCUAAUACCGCAUAACCUAUUGGAGCUGCAUGGCCUUAAUAGCAAAGAUUUUAUCGGCAUAGGAUGGACCCGCGUUAGAUUAGCUAGUUGGUGAGAUAACAGCUCACCAAGGCGACGAUCUAUAGCCGGCCUGAGAGGGUGAACGGCCACACUGGGACUGAGACACGGCCCAGACUCCUACGGGAGGCAGCAGUGGGGAAUAUUGCACAAUGGGCGCAAGCCUGAUGCAGCGACGCCGCGUGAAGGAUGAAGGUCUUCGGAUUGUAAACUUCUAUCAGCAGGGAAGAAUAAUGACGGUACCUGACUAAGAAGCCCCGGCUAACUACGUGCCAGCCGCCGCCGUAAUAC
rnacentral:rRNA from 1 species